rfam:Chaetura pelagica isolate M959 contig7799, whole genome shotgun sequence.
GCUCAGCUAGAUCAGUCGGUAGAGCAUGAGACUUUUAAUUUCAGGGUUGUGGGUUCGAGCCCCACGUUGGGUG